AUUGAGUCAUUUCGUGCGUUAGGGAUCGCAGCGGCAUCCCCGCAGCGGAGCAAGGGAUAUAGCGAAGAGCCCGACCCGUU
rnacentral:misc_RNA from 1 species